rnacentral:rRNA from 1 species
AACUUUCAACAACGGAUCUCUUGGCUCUGGCAUCGAUGAAGAACGCAGCAAAAUGCGAUAAGUAAUGUGAAUUGCAGAAUUCAGUGAAUGGUUAGAUAGUAGAUGUAAAGAGGGUUGCUACCUACGGGCUGUUGAUGCUUUUCCACCACCAGGCACCCCGUGUAGGAGAAUGG